rnacentral:ncRNA from 2 species
CUACAUAUGGUAGAAUCAGGUGCUUCCUGCUACGAGAUAUGGUAGGAAGAGAAUAGGGAAGCCGGUGCGAUUCCGGCGCGGUCCCGCCACUGUAAGAAGUGCGCCUGCAGCCCGGCCCGUUCGCCGCUCCGCUGCAGUGCCGCCGUCCGUCCCCGGACGCCUUCGAAGCCAGAAGACCUGCCGGAUUCUUCAGCACGAC